rnacentral:rRNA from 1 species
CCUACGGGAGGCAGCAGUGGGGAAUAUUGCACAAUGGGGGAAACCCUGAUGCAGCGACGCCGCGUGAGCGAUGCAGUAUUUCGGUAUGUAAAGCUCUAUCAGCAGGGAAGAAAAUGACGGUACCUGACUAAGAAGCCCCGGCUAACUACGUGCCAGCAGCCGCGGUAAAACGUAGGGGGCAAGCUUUAACCGGAUUUACUGGGUGGAAAGGGAGCGUAGACGGUCCUGCAAGCCAGAUGUGAAAGCCCGGGGCUCAACCCCGGGACUGCAUUUGGAACUGUAAGGCUAGAGUGUCGGAGAGGCAGGCGGAAUUCCUAGUGUAGCGGUGAAAUGCGUAGAUAUUAGGAGGAACACCAGUGGCGAAGGCGGCCUGCUGGACGAUGACUGACGUUGAGGCUCGAAAGCGUGGGGAGCAAACAGGAUUAGAUACCCCUGUAGUC